rnacentral:sRNA from 1 species
AAGCGAGGCUGAAAGUGGUUCCCCCCCACCCUUUCAGCACUUCCGGUGCGUUACCUUGAGAAGACCCGCGGCCCGACACCCUCACGGGUGCCGGGCCGCCUUCUUUU